rnacentral:rRNA from 1 species
UUCUGAUUAUUGAAAGGUGCUUGCAUCUUGAUUUAAUUUUGAACGAGUGGCGGACGGGUGAGUAACACGUGGGUAACCUGCCCUUAAGUGGGGGAUAACAUUUGGAAACAGAUGCUAAUACCGCAUAAAUCCAAGAACCGCAUGGUUCUUGGCUGAAAGAUGGCGUAAGCUAUCGCUUUUGGAUGGACCCGCGGCGUAUUAGCUAGUUGGUGAGGUAACGGCUCACCAAGGCAAUGAUACGUAGCCGAACUGAGAGGUUGAUCGGCCACAUUGGGACUGAGACACGGCCCAAACUCCUACGGGAGGCAGCAGUAGGGAAUCUUCCACAAUGGACGCAAGUCUGAUGGAGCAACGCCGCGUGAGUGAAGAAGGCUUUCGGGUCGUAAAACUCUGUUGUUGGAGAAGAAUGGUCGGCAGAGUAACUGUUGUCGGCGUGACGGUAUCCAACCAGAAAGCCACGGCUAACUACGUGCCAGCAGCCGCGGUAAUACGUAGGUGGCAAGCGUUAUCCGGAUUUAUUGGGCGUAAAGCGAGCGCAGGCGGUUUUUUAAGUCUGAUGUGAAAGCCCUCGGCUUAACCGAGGAAGUGCAUCGGAAACUGGGAAACUUGAGUGCAGAAGAGGACAGUGGAACUCCAUGUGUAGCGGUGAAAUGCGUAGAUAUAUGGAAGAACACCAGUGGCGAAGGCGGCUGUCUGGUCUGUAACUGACGCUGAGGCUCGAAAGCAUGGGUAGCGAACAGGAUUAGAUACCCUGGUAGUCCAUGCCGUAAACGAUGAAUGCUAGGUGUUGGAGGGUUUCCGCCCUUCAGUGCCGCAGCUAACGCAUUAAGCAUUCCGCCUGGGGAGUACGACCGCAAGGUUGAAACUCAAAGGAAUUGACGGGGGCCCGCACAAGCGGUGGAGCAUGUGGUUUAAUUCGAAGCAACGCGAAGAACCUUACCAGGUCUUGACAUCUUUUGAUCACCUGAGAGAUCAGGUUUCCCCUUCGGGGGCAAAAUGACAGGUGGUGCAUGGUUGUCGUCAGCUCGUGUCGUGAGAUGUUGGGUUAAGUCCCGCAACGAGCGCAACCCUUAUGACUAGUUGCCAGCAUUUAGUUGGGCACUCUAGUAAGACUGCCGGUGACAAACCGGAGGAAGGUGGGGAUGACGUCAAAUCAUCAUGCCCCUUAUGACCUGGGCUACACACGUGCUACAAUGGAUGGUACAACGAGUUGCGAGACCGCGAGGUCAAGCUAAUCUCUUAAAGCCAUUCUCAGUUCGGACUGUAGGCUGCAACUCGCCUACACGAAGUCGGAAUCGCUAGUAAUCGCGGAUCAGCACGCCGCGGUGAAUACGUUCCCGGGCCUUGUACACACCGCCCGUCACACCAUGAGAGUUUGUAACACCCGAAGCCGGUGGCGUAACCC